rnacentral:rRNA from 1 species
CCUACGGGAGGCUGCAGUGAGGAAUAUUGGUCAAUGGGCGCGAGCCUGAACCAGCCAAGUAGCGUGAAGGAUGACUGCCCUACGGGUUGUAAACUUCUUUUAUAAAGGAAUAUAGUGAGGCACGUGUGCCUUUUUGUAUGUAUUUUAUGAAUAAGGAUCGGCUAACUCCGUGCCAGCAGCCGCGGUAAUACGGAGGAUCCGAGCGUUAUCCGGAUUUAUUGGGUUUAAAGGGAGCGUAGAUGGGUUGUUAAGUCAGUUGUGAAAGUUUGCGGCUCAACCGUAAAAUUGCAAUUGAUACUGGCAGCCUUGAGUACAGUUGAGGUAGGCGGAAUUCGUGGUGUAGCGGUGAAAUGCUUAGAUAUCACGAAGAACUCCGAUUGCGAAGGCAGCUUACUAAACUAUAACUGACACUGAAGCACGAAAGCGUGGGGAUCAAACAGGAUUAGAUACCCGAGUAGUC